CAGACCUUGACCACUCACCAACUGCUCAGAAAACGGAGCAGACUCGAGCCUCUGACCACAGGUCCAGGGAAGGCACACCUUGCUGCAAAAGCCACAGGAUCACACUGUAAAGACAAGACUCUGCUGGGGAGCAGAUGAGGAGGGAGAGCAUACAGUGGUUCCAGGGUAUGCCUCGGUGAUUGCCAG
rnacentral:lncRNA from 1 species